rnacentral:tRNA from 2 species
GCGGACGUGGUGGAAUUGGUAGACACACAGGACUUAAAAUCCUGAGGCCGAAAGGCCGUGCGGGUUCGAUCCCCGCCGUCCGCACCA